rnacentral:rRNA from 1 species
UACGGAGGGUGCAAGCGUUAUCCGGAUUCACUGGGUUUAAAGGGUGCGUAGGCGGACAUGUAAGUCCGUGGUGAAAUCUCUAAGCUUAACUUGGAAACUGCCAUGGAUACUAUAUGUCUUGAAUGUUGUGGAGGUUAGCGGAAUAUGUCAUGUAGCGGUGAAAUGCAUAGAUAUGACAUAGAACACCAAUUGCGAAGGCAGCUGGCUACACAAAUAUUGACGCUGAGGCGCGAAAGCGUGGGGAUCAAACAGG